rnacentral:rRNA from 1 species
GAAGCCGGGCACUCUGGCGGGACUGCCGAUCGACAAGAUGGAGGAAGGUGGGGAUGACGUCAAGUCAUCAUGGCCCUUAUGUCCAGGGCGACACACGUGCUACAAUGGCCGGCACAGCGGGAAGCGAGGCAGUGAUGCCGAGCGGAUCCCUUAAAGCCGGUACUCAGUUCGGAUUGAAGUCUGCAACUCGACUUCAUGAAGCUGGAAUCGCUAGUAAUCGCAGAUCAGCCAAGCUGCGGUGAAUACGUUCCCGGGCCUU